UGGGGAAUUUUGGACAAUGGGCGAAAGCCUGAUCCAGCAAUGCCGCGUGUGUGAAGAAGGCCUUCGGGUUGUAAAGCACUUUUGUCCGGAAAGAAAUCCUUGGCUCUAAUACAGUCGGGGGAUGACGGUACCGGAAGAAUAAGCACCGGCUAACUACGUGCCAGCAGCCGCGGUAAUACGUAGGGUGCAAGCGUUAAUCGGAAUUACUGGGCGUAAAGCGUGCGCAGGCGGUUUGCUAAGACCGAUGUGAAAUCCCCGGGCUCAACCUGGGAACUGCAUUGGUGACUGGCAGGCUAGAGUAUGGCAGAGGGGGGUAGAAUUCCACGUGUAGCAGUGAAAUGCGUAGAGAUGUGGAGGAAUACCGAUGGCGAAGGCAGCCCCUGGGCCAAAUACUGACGCUCAUGCACGAAAGCGUGGGGAGCAAAACAGGAUUAGAUACCCUGGUAGUCCACGCCCUAAAACGAUGUCAACUAGUUGUUGGGGAUUCAUUUCCUUAGUAACGUAGCUAACGCGUGAAGUUGACCGCCUGGGGAGUACGGUCGCAAGAUUAAAACUUAAAGGAAUUGACGGGGUCAUAGCUGUUUCCU
rnacentral:rRNA from 1 species